GAUCUGUCUGGGUUUUUACUUUCUGGGUUUUCAAUCAAUCUCUCAAGUGUUCAAAUAGCCUCGAACUCUUGAUUGCUCUCUUCAUCAAGCAGCAAAGCAGAAAUUGAUGAAAGAUCUGGAAUUGCAAGCAGCCUCAUUGCCUCCUCAAUAUCAAUCCAUGUCUCUAGCAGCCACAGUCGCAGCUCAGAUGAACCAAAGCAGGUAGCCGCGUACUCAGCAGCAGAUCA
rnacentral:lncRNA from 1 species